UCAACCAAGCUGACCACAUUCCCACCAUCCCUCUGCCGGGGGACGUGACUCUGGCCAUGCUGCAGAGGAAGCCAAACCACGGCGAGUAUGAGGCCACACACACAUGCACACACACAGACGAGGAACCAUAUCUGACAAAUCAGCAUUUGCACAUUGCAGUCUGUUCUUACACCCUUAGACGGCUGCACUUCACCUUGAGUUCAGAACAAUAGCAGGAUGAGCCUUCCUCGAUCGGUGCGAAGGUGUGCGAGGAGCGCUACGUACGCGAAUGCAAAGAUGAAAGAGUUCGACACUAAAGUGCAUUCCACUGGAGGUUUUCUGCGCACCGAGGCAGUAAAUGCUAAAACUGCAGAGAUAUUUAACUGAACCAAACACUGAGAAAACAUUACAAAUCACCAUAUGGUUGUGCAG